GCGGGUGUAGCUCAGUGGUAGAGCCUCUGCCUUCCAAGCAGAAUGUCGUGGGUUCGAAUCCCAUCGCCCGCUCCA
rnacentral:tRNA from 1 species